rnacentral:rRNA from 1 species
CUAUGCGCCUUGCCAGCCCGCUCAGGUGUGCCAGCCGCCGCGGUAAUACGUAGGUGGCAAGCGUUAUCCGGAUUUACUGGGUGUAAAGGGCGUGUAGGCGGGAAAGCAAGUCAGAUGUGAAACCAUGGGCUCAACCUGUGGCCUGCAUUUGAAACUGUUUUUCUUGAGUACUGGAGAGGCAGACGGAAUUCCUAGUGUAGCGGUGAAAUGCGUAGAUAUUAGGAGGAACACCAGUGGCGAAGGCGGUCUGCUGGACAGCAACUGACGCUGAGCGCGAAAGCGUGGGAGCAAACAGG